rnacentral:rRNA from 1 species
CUAAGAAUAUUCCGCAAUGGACGGAAGUCUGACGGAGCGACGCCGCGUGGAUGACGAAGGCCGAAAGGUUGUAAAGUUCUUUUGCUGGGGAAGAAUAACCGCAGGAGGGAAUGCCUGUGGGAUGACAAGAACCGGCGAGUAAGCCCCGGCCAACUACGUGCCAGCAGCCGCGGUAACACGUAGGGGGCGAGCGUUGUUCGGAAUUACUGGGCGUAAGGGGCAUGUAGGCGGCUUGGAAAGCCUGGCGUGAAAGUCUGCAGCUUAACUGCAGGGGUGCGCUGGGAACUGCUGAGCUUGAGUGACGGAGAGGGAGCUGGAAUUCCUGGUGUAGGGGUGAAAUCUGUAGAUAUCAGGAAGAACACCGAUGGCGAAGGCAAGCUCCUGGCCGAUGACUGACGCUGAGGUGCGAAAGUGUGGGGAUCAAACAGGAUUAGAUACCCUGGUAGUCCACACAGUCAACGAUGUGCACUAGGUGCUGGGGCGGUAGCUUCGGUGCCGGAGCGAACGUGGUAAGUGCACCGCCUGGGGAGUAUGCUCGCAAGGGUGAAACUCAAAGGAAUUGACGGGGGUC